UACGUAGGGGGCAAGCGUUGUCCGGAUUUAUUGGGCGUAAAGAGCGUGUAGGCGGCCUGGAAGGUCAGCUGUGAAAACUCGAGGCUCAACCUCGAGACGUCGGUUGAAACCACCUGGCUAGAGUCCGGAAGAGGAGAGUGGAAUUCCCGGAGUAGCGGUGAAAUGCGCAGAUAUCGGGAGGAACACCGGUGGCGAAGGCGAUUCUCUGGGCAUGUCCUGACGCUGAGGAGCGAAAGUGUGGGGAGCGAACAGG
rnacentral:rRNA from 1 species